AUUAGUGGCGAACGGGUGAGUAACACGUGGGCGAUCUGCCCUGUCGCUCUGGGACAAGCCCUGGAAACGGGGUCUAAUACCGGAUAUGACUGUCCAUCGCAUGAUGGAUGGUGUAGAGCUCCGGCGGUGCUGGAUGAGCCCGCGGCCUAUCAGCUUGUUGGUGAGGUAGUGGCUCACCAUGGCGACGACGGGUAGCCGGCCUGAGAGGGCGACCGGCCACACUGGGACUGAAACUCGGCCCAGACUCCUACGGGAGGCAGCAGUGGGGAAUAUUGCACUAUGGGCGAGAGCCUGAUGCAGCGACRCCSCGUGAGGGAUGACGGCCUUCGGGUUGUAAACCUCUUUCACCAGGGAAGAAGCGAAAGUGACGGUCCCUGCAGAAGAAGCGCCGGCUAACUACGUGCCAGCAGCCGCGGUAAUACGUAGGGCGCAAGCGUUGUCCGGAAUUAUUGGGCGUAAAGAGCUCGUAGGCGUCUUGUCACGUCGGUUGUGAAAGCCCGGGGCUUAACCCCGGGUCUGCAGUCGAUACGGGCAGGCUAGAGUUCGGUAGGGGAGAUCGGAAUUCCUGGUGUAGCGGUGAAAUGCGCAGAUAUCAGGAGGAACACCGGUGGCGAAGGCGGAUCUCUGGGCCGAUACUGACGCUGAGGAGCGAAAGCGUGGGGAGCGAAUCGGAUUAGAUACCCUGGUAGUCCACGCCGUAACGGUGCUGCUAGGUGUGGCAACAUUCCUCCACGUUGUCCGUGCCGCAGCUAACGCAUUAAGUGCCCCGCCUGGGGAGUACGGCCGCAAGGCUAAAACUCAAAGGAAUUGACGGGGGCCCGCACAAGCGGCGGAGCAUGUGGCUUAAUUCGACGCAACGCGAAGAACCUUACCAAGGCUUGACAUACACCGGAAACGUCUGGAGACAGGCGCCCCCUUGUGGUCGGUGUACAGGUGGUGCAUGGCUGUCGUCAGCUCGUGUCGUGAGAUGUUGGGUUAAGUCCCGCAACGAGCGCAACCCUUGUCCCGUGUUGCCAGCAGGCCCUUGUGGUGCUGGGGACUCACGGGAGACCGCCGGGGUCAACUCGGAGGAAGGUGGGGACGACGUCAAGUCAUCAUGCCCCUUAUGUCUUGGGCUGCACACGUGCUACAAUGGCCGGUACAAUGAGCUGCGAUACCGCGAGGUGGAGCGAAUCUCAAAAAGCCGGUCUCAGUUCGGAUUGGGGUCUGCAACUCGACCCCAUGAAGUCGGAGUCGCUAGUAAUCGCAGAUCAGCAUUGCUGCGGUGAAUACGUUCCCGGGCCUUGUACACACCGCCCGUCACGUCACGAAAGUCGGUAACACCCGAAGCCGGUGGCCCAACCCCU
rnacentral:rRNA from 1 species